rnacentral:rRNA from 1 species
UACGAAGGGGGCUAGCGUUGCUCGGAAUCACUGGGCGUAAAGCGCACGUAGGCGGAUCUUUAAGUCAGGGGUGAAAUCCCGGAGCUCAACUCCGGAACUGCCUUCGAUACUGAAGAUCUUGAGUUCGGGAGAGGUGAGUGGAACUGCGAGUGUAGAGGUGAAAUUCGUAGAUAUUCGCAAGAACACCAGUGGCGAAGGCGGCUCACUGGCCCGAUACUGACGCUGAGGCACGAAAGCGUGGGGAGCAAACAGG